GAAAGCAGGCGAGGUGAUCGCGACCAACCCUGGGCUUCGUGCACAGGCGAGGUUGAGGAAAGUCCGGGCUCCCCGAUGGCCAGGCUUGCUGGGUAACGCCCAGUGCGGGUGACCGUGAGGAGAGUGCCACAGAAACACACCGCCGAUGGCCCCAUGGGAGCAAUCCCUUUGGCACAGGCAAGGGUGCAAAGGUGCGGUAAGAGCGCACCAGCAGCAUCGAGAGGUGCUGGCUCGGUAAACCCCGGCCGGGAGCAAGGCCCAGGAACAACGGGUGGCCAUCAUCCCCGUUCCGCCUUUGUGAGCCGCUCGAGGUCGUCGGUAACGGCGAUCCCAGAUAGAUGAUCACCCCCCUUCCGCGGAAGGGAGAACAGAACCCGGCUUAUGUCCUGCUUUCACCC
rnacentral:RNase_P_RNA from 18 species